rfam:Beta vulgaris subsp. vulgaris Bvchr1.sca006.con0108.1, whole genome shotgun sequence.
GGCAGCAUGGCCGAGUGGUAAGGCGCAUGACUGCAAAUCCUUGUUCUCCGGUUCAAAUUCGAGUGUCACCU